rnacentral:rRNA from 1 species
CAAUAGCGUAUAUUAAAGUUGUUGCAGUUAAAAAGCUCGUAGUUGGAUUUCUGGGCUGAGCGACCGGUCCGCCGCUGUGCGGUGUGUACUCGUGUUCGACUCGGCUCAUCCUUGUGGGGAAACGCAUUUCGGCAUUAGGUUGUCGAGGCGGGGAACCGCAUCGUUUACUGUGAAAAAUUAGAGUGUUUAAAGCAGGCAAAUUGCUGUGAAUACAUUAGCAUGGAAUAAUAACAUAGGACUUUGGUUCUAUUUUGUUGGUUGGAGGCCAAGGUAAUGAUUAAUAGGGAUAGUUGGGGGUAUUCAUAUUUAAUUGUCAGAGGUGAAAUUCUUGGAUUUCCGAAAGACGAACUACUGCGAAAGCAUUUACCAAGGAUGUUUUCAUUAAUCAAGAACGAAAGUUAGGGGAUCGAAGACGAUCAGAUACCGU